rnacentral:lncRNA from 1 species
UUUUUUUGACAUUUUCUUGUAAUUUCAUUUGCAGGUGGUAAACAAAUAAUAGAUUAAUAAUUAAUAAUAGAUUUUGUUUUACAACCUCAAAGGAAGGAGAUGUGGAUGCAGUAGUCAAAAGGAUGUAGACACUGAGUAGGAUCCAUGGUUCAAGUCCUAGUUUCACCAUUUAGCAGCUGAAUGACCUAGGACAAGUUAAUUUUAAGGUUUCUUAUUUUAUUUCCUCCUCUAGAAAAUAUCUAGCAUGCAGGAUGGUGAGGAUUAUAUGAAAUAACAUACCCAGAAUGUCUGACAAAAAGUAGGUAUGUAUUUUUCCCUCUUUAUGUUUUAUGUUAAAAAUAUAGUAUUUGAUUUGCUAUAUCUGAUGAUAAUGGGCUUUAAGGGAAAUCUGUAAUUAUCUAGUUUAGCCUAAAUUUUUCUCUUUAUGAGCCACUUACAUGAUUUUUCCCAUUAGCAUGAUGUUAAUUUUGACAUUUGCCUCAAAGGAUGAAAUAAAGUCUUUUAGUUCCACAACUUGGUGGAAUACACUAGUGUGAAAAUAGCCAGAGUGACAGUAACAAGAAGAGAAUUAAGUUUCAUGAGAAUGAGCAUGUGUCAUGACAUUGUAGCAUAAGGUGGGGAAAUAAGAGGUUGACUUAGAUCAAACAACACAAAAUAGAUACCCACAGGAUAUGAUUUAAACUAUUAAAGAAAUUAAACAAAUGAAUAAAGAUGUAGAAAACAUGAAGGUAAGUAGAGAACAAUACUUUUAAAUGGCAUAUUUGAAAACAGAAUAUAGAAUUUUUAAAAAUCAAAUAUAGUCAUUCAAAUUAAAAUUUAAAUAGACAUUUAGAAAAAUCUAGACAUACCUGAAUCAAAAGAUGGUAACUAAGAAAAUAGAUCUAAGGACUGUAAUAUCAGAAGGAAAAAUACAUGAAAACUAUGGAAGAUAGCUUAAAACCCCAAAAAGUUGGUAUUCAUAUCACUCAUGAAAUGUGUCUGUUCUUUAACUGCUCUACUGCCACAUAUAGGGUUACGUUUCCUGGUACUUUAUGCAUGGAUUGGUUUGCAUGAUGUGCUCUGGCCAAUGAGUAACUAGUGGGUAUUUCUUCUCAAGCAAACAUGUAAUUCUUAGAGUAUUCUUUUCUCUCUAAAUGGUAACAAGUUUCCUUAGCUUGUGACUCUGAGUAACUACAAUGAGCAGAAUAUCUUUGAUGAAUCUAAAAUUAGCAUCUAACAUGAGCAAGAAAUACAUGAGCUACUUCUUGGAUGGUUUGGACCACUGAUAUUUUGAGAACAUUUAUUACACCAAUGUAAUUUAAGCUAUGGAUUAGAAAACUGAGACCUAAGGGCCUGUCACCCCUUUUUGUAAAUAAAAUGAGCUAAACUCAUUCAUUUAGGUGAUAUCUAUCUCUUGUGUGCUGUGGCAGCAGAGUUGAAAAGUUGUGACAGGUAUUUUAUUAUAUGGUGCACAAAGCCUAAAAUAUCUGUCCCUUUAAGAAAAUGUUUGCUGACCUAGCCUAAACUCUCUGGUAAAAGUAUGGAGAGAACAAAAAUUAGCAAAUAUCAUGUACAAGUCUCAACUAAUGAUAAUUUAGAAGAAAAGGCAAAGAAAUAUCAGAGAUAUAAAAGCAGAGUAUUUUCAUAGAUUAAAAAUUAAAAAUAUGAUAAUCCAUUAAGAAUUAUGUUUCCCUUUAAGAUAAAGUUGAUCUUAGCAGACCAAUACUGGUUCCUGCUGGAAAAACUUAGAAAGUCAAGAUGAAAUUUAAAUAUAUAAAUUUGUAAAUAAAUAUAUGUGUAUAUAAAUAUAUAGACACAUAUUUGCAUAUAUAUACUCACUUCCCCUAAAGCCCAUGUGCAAAUAUAUAUUAUAUAUAUAUAUUAAUUUUUUAAGGCAUUAGAUGCUUGCCAAGAAAACAAGACUCAAAGGGCCAAAAGAGCUAGAAUCCAGGAAAAAGAGAAUCAUAGACAGAAAUGCCCAAUUCUGUAACAGCUUCAUCCUUCAAGGGUUUUGCAAAUUUCUGGUGACAAGUCAGGCAGAAGACCACUGUUAAGACAUAAAGAAACUGAGGAAUAUUUUAGAACAUAUAGGAAUUGAGAAAGCAAAUAUUUUGCUUUUGUAAAAUAUUUUGAACUGUCAAAUAACCCAGGACCUGGGUAGCCAUGAUUCUGUUGAGGAAGUAGACUCAGAGUAGUAAUGAGUAACGCCAACAUUUUGUUGGUGUCCCCAGGAAGAAUUUUCAGUGUAAAAAUGUAUCAUGGUAAAUAGCUAGUUAAAAAAAAAAAAAAAAAAAA